rnacentral:tRNA from 1 species
GUGCACUUAGCUCAGUGGUUAGAGUACCCUUCUAGAUUUUGGGGGAAACAGGUCACAGGUUCAAGUCCUGUAGUGCACA